rnacentral:rRNA from 1 species
ACAAAACGACUCUCGGCAACGGAUAUCUCGGCUCUCGCAUCGAUGAAGAACGUAGCGAAAUGCGAUACUUGGUGUGAAUUGCAGAAUCCCGUGAACCAUCGAGUCUUUGAACGCAAGUUGCGCCCAAAGCCUCGGCUGAGGGCACGUCUGCCUGGGU